GACAGAGGGUGCAAACGUUGUUCGGAAUUACUGGGCGUAAAGCGCGUGUAGGUGGCGAGGCAAGUCGGGUGUGAAAGCCCUGGGCUCAACCCAGGAAGUGCACUCGAUACUGCCUAGCUAGAGUCCCGGAGAGGUUGGUGGAACUCUCGGUGUAGAGGUGAAAUUCGUAGAUAUCGAGAAGAACACCGGUGGCGAAGGCGGCCAACUGGACGGUGACUGACACUGAGACGCGAAAGCGUGGGGAGCAAGCAGG
rnacentral:rRNA from 1 species